UGGAGGCUUUCUCUCCAACUUGAACAAAAGAACAAGCAGAAAUGACUUUCCCAGUGGGACGAUGCUCUCGAUAUUCUUUUUAAAGCGAUUAUGACCCUCCCUUAAUCGUUGAUGGUCGAGAGUGGCUCAUGUUGUCGUUCUUAAGUCGAAUGUGAGGAAUCUGAAUCCACGUGCCCUCAACAUCAUCCUGAGACUUGCCAUGGAUACGAAAUUUAUUCCUAUGUUCAAUGACUUCGGAGAGAAAGGCAUCAACCUGCCUUUUAGCCAGUUGUUCAACAACGUUAACCUGCAGCCAUUUAAUGGCUGCUUGCUCAUCUCGGCUGACAUCGGCUCUUAAUUGGCCGGGGAAGGGCAAGAAGGGACCACAAGAAUGCCAUGGUCAGCCAACAGUCCCGACUACAACCUCAUUGAAUAAUGUGUGAGGCGAAAUUGGCCGAAGAGUCCAGCAGCACCAGCCACCACCAGCUAACCGAGAAGAGCUGUAAAAGAUCCCAGAAGAAUGAGAAAAUUCUAAAACCAGUGAUAACAUUUAAAACACAAUGCGGCUUUGUCCCUGACAGAUUACUAAUAAUUCUUAGAUCUUUUCCAUCUAUGUCUAUAGCUCUUCCAAUAGAUUAAAUAGCUCAUCAUAUCUAACUUUGUAGAAAGAAUAUGAAUAAUCAAUUAAACAUACAUAAAAA